GCCUGAGUACCUGGACACUCGGGGGUUAAAGCUCCGGAUCUCCAUUAAACGAGUCUUUGUCCUUACCUUCAUUUUGAUUGUUAUCAAAGCGUGAGGUUUAGUUUUUCGAGAACUAAGCAACGAUAGACCUGUUGCUGUUGCAAGAUACAACCGACCCUCCUUACAACACCCAGUCUAGCAAAUAACUUCUCCCCUGUGUCUGGGGUCCGGAACGCCCGUGAGGGGGCCCACAUACCCACAGGAACAGCAGACAUCGAUUCGCCUCUUUUCUUUUUCUUUUUCCCCCACUUGGUUUAUUUCCUUGUCCACCAGGGGUUUUGUGGCUGUCACUCAGACCAGCUGCCUAUUGGCUGGUAGGAGGGCAGUAAUGUGAACUGCCUUUUGCACUUGGCUCAUCCGGGCAGUUGUUUGCUUGAAGGUUCAGUCCUGAGGUGCCUGGUGUUGUAAGUCACCUGUGCUUACUCAUUCUCCCUGUCGGCCUCUGGUUUCCCAGUUUCCCAGGGCUGCAGGGCGUAACUAGUCCAAGGUCCCCAAACCCCCGGGUGCCCCCUCCAUGUGUCUGACUCAGCCGGUGGUGUCAAGUUUCUCUGUCCAGCACGAGCUACGAGAAUGAAAAGUCUCGGCUGCUUUGUCUUCCGUAGGCUUCCUUAAGCACAACAUAUUCCAUUACAACAAAAGAAACUAUCUAUCAAAGAAGGCGAGUCAUCUUACACCACAAAGGAAUGGGACUGAAGGGGGAGUGAAUUUCAGCAGCAAGAAAGAACAUGGACUUUGAUGCCUAAGACCAGAGUUACCAAGAAUUCCAGAAACCUAGGUUCAGGAUGCCGAUGAAUGUCUGACUAGCAUUCAAAACCACAGUGAUGGAGCACUGAGGACUGCGUGGAGGAAAAGCUAAAGACUAGAAACAAAAUUGCAAACAGGUAUCUGUUUAAGGAUGAAAACAAAGGACAGCAAUGUUCAAAUAACAUAUAAUGUACAGGAAAGGGAUGUACAGAG